ACGGUUACAUCACAUUGAAACACUGGUUCUCAUACAAUCAACAAAGUUAAGCAACAUUGAGUCUGGUCAAUACCUAGAUAGAUGACCACUUGGGAGUACCAGGUGCUGUAAG